CCUACGGGGGGCUGCAGUGAGGAAUAUUGGUCAAUGGACGAGAGUCUGAACCAGCCAAGUAGCGUGAAGGAUGACUGCCCUAUGGGUUGUAAACUUCUUUUAUAUGGGAAUAAAACGUUCCACGUGUGGGAUUUUGUAUGUACCAUAUGAAUAAGGAUCGGCUAACUCCGGGCCAGCAGCCGCGGUAAUACGGAGGAUCCGAGCGUUAGCCGGAUUUAUUGGGGGUAAAGGGAGCGUAGGUGGAUUGUUAAGUCAGGUGUGAAAGUUUGCGGCUCAACCGUAAAAUUGCAGUUGAAACUGGUAGUCUUGAGUACAGUAGAGGUGGGCGGAAUUCGUGGUGUAGCGGUGAAAUGCUUAGAGAUCACGAAGAACUCCGAUUGCGAAGGCAGUUCACUGGACUGCAACUGACACUGAGGCUCGAAAGUGUGGGUAUCAAACAGGAUUAGAUACCCCAGUAGUC
rnacentral:rRNA from 1 species